AUCUCAUUUAAUUUUUAUAUUUACUGUAAUAUGUAUUAUCUGCCCAUUUUGUAGAUGAGAAUUAGCUGAGUUAUCAUUGAUGCUUAGAUUAGCAAAGUGGUCUACCUGUGAUCACAGACGUAAAAAAUUACAACAUCAAAAAAAAAAAAAAAAAACAGUCUAACUGGUAAAAAAAAAAAAAAAAAAAAAAAAAAAAAAAAAAAAAAAAAAAAAAAAAAAAAAAAAAAAAAAUUCUCAGAAAAAUAUUAUCAUUGAAAGGCAUUUAAUUUUUAAUAAAUAAAUAUAAUAAGAACAGGUCUUUAGUUAAAAAUUAAAAGGAUAAUGUUGCUUGAUAGAUGGGAGUCCAGGAAAGAAUUGUGGUUAGGAGACAUGAGUAAAAUGCACAAAUGUCAGGUAGACGAGUACAAUUAACACUUGCCAAACAGAGCUUGUGGCAUAAUGCACCCCAAGAAAGAAUAGUCUGAACAAACUGUACUUGGU
rnacentral:lncRNA from 1 species